UUAUUGAUAAAAUAUUUCUCCUCUUUACUACCAGCAUAACUUCCUUUGAAUCCCACACGGAAACCAUGUUCAUAAGUUUUUGACUGACUGCCAUCUCUCCUUUGUCUAAGAACAGCAACGGGAAGAUUAUCCAGUAUCAUGUUCACCCGAUAUUCAUCAUCAAUUUUUUCCUUGAAAUUCUUGGCAGAUUCAGCAUCAAGUGCCACUCCGCAUGCCACUUUGCAUGCUUGCUCUUCCAUCAUUUCAAAAUUGUAUACAGAAUUCUCAAUGCGGUCACCUCGAAGAACCUCUCCCAAAUUUUCCGCAUUGUUAAUAAUAUAUUUAGGCUUACAAUAUUUCAAGUAGUAGUAGUCAUAUGGAAGUUGUGUCUUUGUAGAUGACAAUUUGUUCACUUUGACAGAAAGGAUAUCCCCCCUGUGAAUGUCACGAGGAGCUACGCCAGGAAGAUAGAAGGAGUGUGCAGAGGAGAUAAGGAGGAAAGCGAAGAAGAGGAUCGCAGAGAUGGUACCCAUCUUCGUCUUCUCGAAUCUAGAGAGAAAUGUCGAGAAAGGGACGUCGAGAGGGGUUUUUGCAGUGGCAGAGACCAACUAUAGACCCGCUGCCUUUGAGCUAUUCCCAGGCUUUCUUCAUUACUGUUGCUGCCCCCAUAAUCCGAUUAAUCACGGUUUUUU
rnacentral:misc_RNA from 1 species